GCGACACGAAGAAAACGCACGAGGCGUCCCUGGCGCUCCCGUAGCAACACAAAGCGCACGGGCGCGCUAUUCACCGUCGGCGCGGCUUCCCUGCCGCAGUCGCCGCCCACCGGCCGCCCCACGUUCGCCGCCGGUCACCUUCUAGUGCAAUCAACUAAUGUAUUGCUUCAUCCUACGUAUCUAUCGCUAAAAGACGAUGAAGCAUUAACGCACGCGAUACUGAGACGUGGCCGCGCGAUACAGCGACAUCGCCGCGCGUUGCCCAUCACGCCGCCAGCCGAGCCGCAGUCGGCCGGCUGCCCCUGUCUCAGCUGCACUUCUCACCGCCGCUGCAGCGUCGCUGCGCAGCCUGCAGUCGACGCCCGGCUGCCGCUUCGUCUGCCUACGCCGCCUUCGCCGCCGCCGCCAACGUCGCCGCCUCCGGCAUAAUGAAGUAGUUACCUGCCUACACAAUAAGCAGCUGCCACCAUGCCCCUCCUUCCCGCCGUCCGCACCUGAAGGAACCACAGAGUAUCCAACGCUGCGCGGCGCCCGCUGCUGCCCCACUCUCCGUCAGUGGUACAUGGGCCACCCCAUCACAGCGCCGCAUCUGACCCAAAGAUUCUCACUCUGUUUAUUUUUCAAUGAUUGUCUAUAUUACAUGUGGAAGAUAUACCAUCAACAGUUAGAACUUUGUGUUUAACCAACUGCAAUCAGUGUCCCUACACAGAAGAAAAUGCCUUUUAUGUUACAUUAUGAACAUGUUUCAACUUUCUAUUAUCUGUAAAUGAAGCAAUUUUUUAGGUUGUUAGUGUUUCAAUAAGUCUUUAAUUACUAUUUUGAAACUAUUAACCAUAGAAACUACCUCUCAGUUUGAGAAUUUCAAUGUUUUAUCUAAUUAUUUACUAUCUUCAUAUUCUGUUUAUGUUAACUAUGCUUGUCAAUUGAAUACUUUUAUUUUGUAGAAUUAACUAAUUUGUUACAAUUACUACCUUCGUAUUUUAGUUUAUAUUCUGAAACUGAUUCCACUAUGUAGCAACGAGUUUAACGUUUGCCAAACAUAAAAACAAUUACACAUUUCUAGAGGCGCCUGUAACCUUCAAAAGAUCAGCGCUGAUUCAGUUCGGCCAGCAUCUACACUUCUGCUACACCGAGUUUAGCGUCGCAAGUAUAUACGAGUAACAGAAUCUGUAAUACUUCAUUCCAAUGUUGUGAAACUUUUGACAUACUUUUAACUUUUUGUGCUAAGAUUUGCAUUCUGAUACAGUAAUGAUGAUGGGAAAUUAUCGUAUUGAAUUAUGUGUGAUAAGAGCAAUGUCUGUAAAUGUUUUAUGAUUUUGAUCAACAAU